CUCAAAUGGAUCUCAGCACUGGAACUUAGUAAUGUAGCACCUCUCUGGACAACACUGAAAUUCUAUCCAAGUUGUUUUGUCUUCCCAUGGGGCAAGAGUUUGGAGAAGCAGCAUCAGCAUCUGGCUCUUCCCAACAUCCAAGAUUCAGGUGGCCUUGAAAAAGAUAGAGUAGUAACUAGUAACUUCAGUCCGCUUUGUAUUGAUUUUGCUGAGAGGACUUUACCCACUGUUUCCUUCCAUGCCACUCUCUGUACUUCUCCUUUAAGAUGUGAACUUGACCUUUCAUGAUGACCACCCUUUGGUGAAGGCUGUCCUGCCAUCACCCACCAGUGAAUGGCAGUGAGCAUCACCACCCAGCUGGGACUAGUGGAGCAAAUAAAGCCAUAGAGAGUCUGAAUGUGUGUCAAAUCUGCUCUCACCCAAGGAAGAUAUUUUAUACUGUGCAGUUGUUUCCUGGUGAAUCUGUGUGCUCUGCUCCCUCUGCAAUAUUCAUUAACACAAGUCACUUGUACAGUAAAUAUUUAUUUAACUUUAAGAUUUAUAUAGUGUCUUUCCCUACAGCAUCUAGGUGGUAUUUGCAGAAAUUAAAAACAUAAGUUAUAUGAAGCUUUCAAUAAUGUUUUGCAUUAAAUUGCUACUGUUGUCAGAAAUAAA